rnacentral:rRNA from 1 species
GGGUAGUCCUGGCUGUAAACGAUGCGGACUAGGUGUCACCGAAGCUACGAGCUUCGGUGGUGCCGGAGGGAAGCCGUUAAGUCCGCCGCCUGGGGAGUACGGCCGCAAGGCUGAAACUUAAAGGAAUUGGCGGGGGAGCACUACAACGGGUGGAGCCUGCGGUUUAAUUGGAUUCAACGCCGGGAAGCUUACCGGGGGAGACAGCGGGAUGAAGGUCGGGCUGAAGACCUUACCAGACUAGCUGAGAGGUGGUGCAUGGCCGCCGUCAGUUCGUACUGUGAAGCAUCCCGUUAAGUCAGGCAACGAGCGAGACCCGCGCCCCCAGUUGCCAGCGGUUCCCUUCGGGGAAGCCGGGCACACUGGGGGGACUGCCGGCGCUAAGCCGGAGGAAGGUGCGGGCAACGGGCAGGUCCCGUAUGCCCCCGAAUCCCCCCGGGCUACGACGCGGGGCUACAAUGGCCCGGGACAAAUGGGGUACCGACCCCCGAAAAGGGGGGUACGGGUAAAUCCCCCUAAAACCCCGGGGUCUAAACCCUGGGGGAUCGGAGGGGCUGCAACUCGCCCUCGU